rnacentral:lncRNA from 1 species
CCAAGAGUUGGACCUGUCACACAAUUACUUGUUCGGAGGAAUACCAGAGGAAGUUGGAAAUCUCAUUAAUCUGAAAAACCUUAGCAUCUCAAACAACAGGUUGUCUGGCAACAUCCCAUCCUCUCUUGGCAAGUGUGUUGCUCUGGAGUCUCUUGAGAUGCAAAGCAACUUAUUAGUAGGAAGCAUACCAAAAUCUUUUGAGAAGUUGGUAGGCAUCUGGAAUAUGGAUAUUUCACAGAACAACUUGACUGGAAAAAUACCAGAUUUUCUUUCAAACUUCAGUUUACUAUAUGAUCUGAAUUUAUCAUUCAACAAUUUUGAAGGAGAAGUUCCAGCAGGUGGUAUUUUUCGUAAUGCUAGUGUGGUAUCAAUAGAAGGGAAUAAUGGCUUGUGUGCAAGAACAUCAAUGGGAGGUAUACCACUUUGCUCAGUACAGGUUCACAGGAAUAGGAGACACAAGUCUUUGGUUCUAGUCCUAAUGAUAGUAAUACCAAUUGUUUCUAUCACUAUCAUUCUAUUAAGUUUUGCUGCAUUUUUUUGGAGGAAGAGAAUGCAGGUUACUCCAAAAUUGCCACAAUGUAAUGAGCAUGUGUUUAAGAAUAUUACAUAUGAAAACAUUGCCAAGGCCACAAAUAAGUUUUCUUCAGAUAACUUAAUUGGAUCAGGAUCAUUUGCAAUGGUUUAUAAGGGUAAUUUGGAGCUUCAGGAAGAUGAAGUUGCCAUCAAGAUUUUUAAUCUUGGUACAUAUGGAGCACACAGAGGUUUCAUUGCAGAGUGUGAAACCCUAAGAAAUGUCCGCCAUCGAAAUCUUGUGAAAAUCAUCACUUUAUGUUCUUCAGUGGAUGCCACUGGGGCAGACUUCAAGGCUUUGGUGUUCCAAUACAUGCAGAACGGGAACUUAGACACGUGGCUACAUCCAAAGUCCCAAGAACUUAGCCAAGGAAAGGUUCUAACUAUUAGCCAAAGAGUUAAUAUUGCCUUGGAUGUGGCGUUUGCUUUAGAUUAUCUUCAUAACCAAUGUGCAACGCCACUAAUACAUUGUGACUUGAAGCCAAGCAAUAUUCUUUUGGAUCUUGAUAUGGUUGCAUAUGUCAGUGACUUUGGCCUAGCAAGAUUUGUGUACAAUAGAUUGACUGCACAUGAAGAUACCUCAACAAGUUUGGCUUGCCUAAAAGGGUCAAUUGGAUACAUCCCACCAGGUAAAUAGGCUUCCAAACUUUUGACUCAGUUUGUUCUUUAUAUACUUGUACAGAAAUUUUAAAAAAUAGAGCCUAGCCUUAUAGUUUUAUAAAAUUUAAUGCAGAGUACGGCAUGAGGAAAGAUAUCUCAACCAAGGGUGAUGUCUACAGUUUUGGAAUACUUUUGUUAGAAAUUAUAAUUGGGAGCAGGCCAACUGAUGAAAAAUUUAAUGGCAGCACAACCCUGCAUGAAUUUGUUCAUGGAGCAUUUCCCAAUAAUAUCUACGAGGUAGUUGAUCCAACCAUGCUACAAAAUGACCUUGUUGCAACCGAUGUGAUGGAGAAUUGUAUCAUUCCAUUGGUCAAAAUAGGCCUAUGUUGUUCUGUGCCACUGCCCAACGAACGACCAGAAAUGGGACAAGUUGCAACCAUGAUUCUUGAAAUCAAGCACGCGGCCUCAAACAGGCAUGUCAGAUUAAGCUAACAGCUGCCAGGUUCUAUUUCAUUUAUAGAAGAAUAUACCAAUAUAACAUCCACUGGAUAUUUCACUGUAAACGUAGUAUAGUUAAUGACCUCAUUAGAAGCUUGAAUGGUAGCCACAAUGCUUGCACAGGCAUCCCUAGUUUUUGAAUGUUGAAACCUUUUAUGGUUUAUAUUGUGCGACUUACUUGUUCAUCCUCUAAUCACUAUGAAGAAACAUCGAAUUAUGAGUCUUUGAGAUUGGCUCCCUUCCAUUUUUGCCAUCUCCGGUGGCUACCGGACGCUGCCGUGGUGUAUGAAAAACAGCAUACGCAAAAUGGUAGCUAGUGUUCUACUUGAAUGACACUGGUUGUGUUUCAGCUACCUUUCCAUUUUUCAUUUGCAUUCUGUAUGUUUAGCGACAUGCAUGUUUCUCAAUCCACCGAAAUUUACUUAUCGUGGCAUUAGCAUUUCGUGUCGUUUCUUUUGAUAUAGGAUGAUAAUUCAUAAUAAAAUGUAAAGCAGCAUAAAACAUUUGUAGCCUGGUUAAGGACUUGAAGUAAAAGAGUAGUAGAGACGUAGAGCGGUAAGCAUAUAGAAUGUCAUGCUGUAAACUUACUCCACUUCUAUAGAUGGUUUAGGUAGCCAGGUAGGCACCGUUCCUGCCAAGUUCUUCAAAAGCAAGGGUUGAAUAACUAUGAGCACCAAUCAAAUUGUAAGGAACUCGACCGAUUUGCAUAGCCCUCGCCCAACGGGAUACAUCAAGUAAGACCGUCAAAAUCGAUUAGGUAUUUUGGCAACCAAUUUCGUUGGGAACUAAUUAGUCUCCGAUCAAAGCCAAAUUAUAGGUGUUUGCAGAAGCUGGAUUUGGGUCAGAUUCCAAAACCCCAAGUUCAAACAUGACCCCAACACGAAAUUAGCCCAAUGAAAGGCAUAGAUUGGAGACCGGAUAUAUACAGAUCAAUCUCACACCGACCUAAUUAGCAGAAAAUCAGAUGAUAGAUCAAGCAGAUAGGCAUUCAUAGGACUGGAUAGGGGGAGCACCUGCUGGCUGCUUGCCUGCUCGUGUUCCUGCUAGGCUGCUACUCUCGGAGUCCCAGCUGCCGGCGCCGCUCACUCCAGAGUCCCGAGCGGCGGCGCCGCCCGUUUCGGUUUCCCUUGCGGACUCGCCGUCACCUGCAUAGGGCGCCGCCGCCGCCGUCGGCUGUUGUCGUGGGAGCCCGUCG